rnacentral:rRNA from 1 species
GACGAACGCUGGCGGCGUGCCUAAUACAUGCAAGUCGAACGCAGUGGGGACGGGUGAGUAACACGUGGGUAACCUCCCAUCAGAGGGGAUAAAACUUGGAAACAGGUGCUAAACCGAUACUGAUGGAUGGACCCGCGGUGCAUUAGCUAGUUGGUGAGGUAACGGCUCACCAAGGCCACGAUGCAUAGCCGACCUGAGAGGGUGAUCGGUCACACUGGGACUGAGACACGGCCCAUACUCCUACGGAAGGCAGCAGUAGGGUAUCUUGGGCAAUGGACGCAGGUCUGACCGAGCAACGCCGCGUGGGUGAAGAAGGUGUUCGGAUCGUAAAGCUCUGUUGUUAGAGAAGCGGUAUCUAACCAGAACGCCGCGGCUAACUACGUGCCAGCAGCCGCGGUAAUUC